UACGUAGGUGGCAAGCGUUGUCCGGAUUUACUGGGCGUAAAGAGCGCGCAGGCGGUCGUUCAAGUCGAGUGUGAAAGCCCCCGGCUCAACUGGGGAGGGUCACUUGAUACUGAUCGACUCGAAGGCAGGAGAGGGAAGCGGAAUUCCCGGUGUAGUGGUGAAAUGCGUAGAUAUCGGGAGGAACACCCGUGGCGAAGGCGGCUCUCUGGGACGGUACUGACGCUGAGACGCGAAAGCGUGGGGAGCGAACAGG
rnacentral:rRNA from 1 species